AACGAACGCUGGCGGCAGGCCUAACACAUGCAAGUCGAGCGGGGGGAGCAAUCCCUAGCGGCGGACGGGUUAGUAACGCGUGGGAACAUACCCUUUGGUACGGAAUAGCCUCGGGAAACUGAGAGUAAUACCGUAUGUGCCCUUCGGGGGAAAGAUUUAUCGCCAAAGGAUUGGCCCGCGUUGGAUUAGGUAGUUGGUGGGGUAAUGGCCUACCAAGCCUACGAUCCAUAGCUGGUUUGAGAGGAUGAUCAGCAACACUGGGACUGAGACACGGCCCAGACUCCUACGGGAGGCAGCAGUGGGGAAUCUUAGACAAUGGGCGCAAGCCUGAUCUAGCCAUGCCGCGUGAGCGAUGAAGGCCUUAGGGUUGUAAGACUCUUUUACCAGGGAUGAUAAUGACAGUACCUGGAGAAUAAGCUCCGGCUAACUCCGUGCCAGCAGCCGCGGUAA
rnacentral:rRNA from 1 species